UUAUAAUAUUUUAGUACGAAAGGACCAAAUAUUAGAAUAAUUAUAUUUUUAAAAAAGAAUAUUAUUAAUAUG
rnacentral:rRNA from 2 species